GAUGAACGCUGGCGGCGUGCCUAAUACAUGCAAGUCGAGCGAAUGGAUUAAGAGCUCGCUCUUAUGAAGUUAGCGGCGGACGGGUGAGUAACACGUGGGUAACCUGCCCAUAAGACUGGGAUAACUCCGGGAAACCGGGGCUAAUACCGGAUAACAUUUUGAACCGCAUGGUUCGAAAUUGAAAGGCGGCUUCGGCUGUCACUUAUGGAUGGACCCGCGUCGCAUUAGCUAGUUGGUGAGGUAACGGCUCACCAAGGCAACGGUGCGUAGCCGACCUGAGAGGGUGGUCGGCCACACUGGGACUGAGACACGGCCCAGACUCCUACGGGAGGCAGCAGUAGGGAAUCUUCCGCAAUGGACGAAAGUCUGACGGAGCAACGCCGCGUGAGUGAUGAAGGCUUUCGGGUCGUAAAACUCUGUUGUUAGGGAAGAACAAGUGCUAGUUGAAUAAGCUGGCACCUUGACGGUACCUAACCAGAAAGCCACGGCUAACUACGUGCCAGCAGCCGCAGUAA
rnacentral:rRNA from 1 species